rnacentral:rRNA from 1 species
CAAUAGCGUAUAUUUAAGUUGUUGCAGUUAAAAAGCUCGUAGUUGGAUUUCGGGUGUGAACGACCGGUCCGUCUUUGAUGUGUACUGGUUGGUUGCGCCUUAUUGUCGAGGACGUGGUUCUGGCUUUCAUUAGCUGGGACACGGAGUCGGCAGCGUUACUUUGAGAAAAUUAGAGUGUUCAAAGCAGGCUAUCGCUCUGAAUACUACAGCAUGGAAUAACACGAUAGGACUCCGAGCCUAUUCUGUUGGUCUUCGGGACCGGAGUAAUGAUUAAGAGGGACAGUUGGGGGCAUUCGUAUUCCGAUGUCAGAGGUGAAAUUCUUGGAUUAUCGGAAGACGAACAUCUGCGAAAGCAUUUGCCAAGGAUGUUUUCAUUAA